rnacentral:rRNA from 1 species
UACAGAGGUCUCAAGCGUUGUUCGGAUUCAUUGGGCGUAAAGGGUGCGUAGGUGGCGCUGUAAGUCGGGUGUGAAAUUUCGGGAGCUUAACUCCGAAAACUGCAUUCGAUACUGCGGUGCUUGAGGACUGGGAGAGGAGACUGGGAAAUUCAUGGUGUAGCAGUGAAAUGCGUAGAGAUCAUGAGGGAAGACCAGUGGGCGAAAGGCGGGGUCUCCUGGACAGUUCCUGACACUGGAGG